CCUUCACCACCUCCUCAAAUAAAUUUCAAAGUGUAGUAGUCAUCCUUCUUUCAACUUCUAUGAAGUCACCUUUUAUAUAUGAGUUACACUAUCCCGUAUUUGUGUUUCCAUGUUUGACUAAGCUCAUUUAGCAUAAUAACAUCCAUUUUCUUCUGGCUGAAAAUGACAAAGUUUUAUCAUUUUAGAAAGGAAUAUUAUUUUUGAGUAUAAACCACAUUUUCUUUAUCCAUUCAUCAUCUGAGAGAUACCUGCGUUUCUUUCAUCUCUUGUUUCUAGCAAGUACCAUACCAGUCAGGAUGAUGUACUUGCCUUCAUUUAGAUAUGUAAAGUAAGGUUUCGAGGUCAUAUGGGAGUCGUGUUUCUAGCUUUGUUUUAUAAUGAGGAAAUUCUAUUUUUCUCUUUUGAAGGGUCCUGCCUACAGUGUACAGCAUUUCUCAUUUUCCUACCCUCACAAACAUUCAUUAUCCUCUUUUAUUAUUUAUUUUAUUUUUGAGAUUACAAUGUAAUUACAUCAAUUCCCUUCUCUUUUCUUCCCUUCAAAUAGUCCCAUAUGUCUUCUUGCUCUCUUUCAAAUUUAUGGCCUCCUUUUCUAUGUUAUGCUUACCUCAAGGAGAUGCUCUAAGCGGAGUGCAUGGAUCUCCCUGGGGAAGGGAAAUAAAAUAGAAUUUGCAGGUGGACUUGGACAGAUGGAAAUGAGAACAGGAGGGAGUAGGUGUGAGGACGAAUGGAGGGAGAGAGUAAGGGAGCGAAGACUAGAAUUAGAAGGCAUUUGGGAGGGGGCAUGUAGAAACUGCAGUAAAAUCUCCCUAUAGUCUACAAGGGUGACCCUAAGCAAGUACACCUCAUAAUAGAGGAUAUGAAGUCAUCUUCUAUUACCAGGCAACUGGAGUGAGGGGACUUGGACAGUAAACCAGCCAUGAAAUCUUGAACAUCAAUCCUGCCUUCAAGAUAUAUUGGGGAAAUGGAGGCACGGAACUUGUGGGAGUGACCAACCAAUGACUGGUCAGAGCUGAGGUCGUGUAAUGAAAGGACAUGCUUAAUAUUGCCUGGGUGUCCAGAAACAAAAGUCUAGAUCGCCCAAAGACUUAAGAAACAAAUGUAUAAAAUUAUUUUUAAUGAUAUUCUGCUAUACUCAUACUUAGGUAAUUAGCCCAGUAGUUCACAGAGAGGCUUCUGCUGGUAGCUGAUGGGAGAGAUGCAGAGACCUACGUCUAACAUUAGGUGGAAAGAGCCCAGUGGACCAAACUGGAGAUGUCCAUUGUGUACCUCCUCUUGGAGCUUUCAGAACUUUGCAAAAAGGGGAGCAAGAAUUAUAGGAGUCAGAGAGGCCGAAGAUACCAGGAAAACAUGGUCCAACAGACAUCAACUGGUCUGUAGGGACUCAAAGAGACUAGAACCACAAUCAUGGAGCCUGUAUGGUUCUGCAAUACGUCCUCUGCAUAUAUGUUAUGGUUAUAGUUUGGUGCUUCUGUGGAUCAUCAAACAGUGUAAAUGGAGGAAUAUCUGACUUUUUUGCCUGCUCUUGAGACAAUUUUCCUCCUACCAUGUUGCCUUGCAUAGCCUUGAUAUGAGGCUUUGUGCCUUGUCUUAUUGUAUCUUGUUAUGCUGUGUUCUGUUGACAUCUCUGGGAAGCCUGUCCUUUUCUGAAGAGAACAGAGGAAGAAAAGUAUAUCUGAGGGAGUGGGGAGGUCAGGAAAGCAACUGAGAGAAAUGGAGGCGGGGGCGGAAACUACAUUUGGGAUGUACUGAAAAAAUAUUUGCAUAUAUGUGCAUACAUAUAUCCCUAGGUACAACCUGCUCAGUCUGUACAAUGUUAUUUGUGUGUGUGUGUGUGUGUGUGUGUGUGUGUGUGUGUGUGUGUGUGUGUGUGUGUGUAUUCUCAUGGUUGAUCAUUUUAUACUGAAUAAGCAAUUAGUGUGCUCUUCCCUGGAGAAGUCAAUUUCUCAUCUUUUCAACAUUCCUUAGUUGCCUGUAGUUCAGUGUAUAAAGCUGAGGCCUUGUAGUCUUCCAUUCAUCUGCUUGGGCAUGUCUUUAUCACUCUGACUGUUAUCUACCUCAUCUUGGCUUUAAUUGAUAUUUACCCAGUGAAUUAUUACAUUGAGCAUUUUUUCACAUACUUGCUGCCUAUUUAUCUUUAUUAAUUUAAAAAAUCUCCCUUCAAGUCAUUUGUUUCUUUUCAGGUCAUCUAUAAGUCACAUCACUUAUUUUUAAAUACUAAGCUCCUUUCACUUCUGUAUUAUCAAUCUCUCAUCAAUUCAAUAUUUUAAAAAUUCCUUUUUCCAUUUUGUAAGUGUUUUUGUUGAUGGAAUCCUCUUCACAAAUUCCUUGCUUUUCUAAUCUACCAAUUUGAGGUCAUAGCCAAUUGUCUGCCUCCACAAAGGUCUUAAGCUCUCCCCUAAGUUAUUGCUUUAAUGGCUAUCACUUUGCAGGAUAUUUUGAAACCAGGUUGUUAUUGUAAUAGUCCUGUUUUCAUUUUUUUCUUAAAAUAUUUGUGUAUUCAGGGUCGCUAUGGUUCUCUACAAAACUUAACCCUUAACAAACAUGUGUUAUUGUUUUAAAACAUUAUUGUAGGCAGCCAAAUUUCCAGAGGUGCACAGACAUAUCACCUUUGUCAAUUUUAACAAGGAAUUUCCAUCCUUGGGAAAGGAGCACAGGCAAGAUAUUUGAUCUAUAUGGAAUAAUAGAUACCACAGCAGAACCCAGGAAACUGAAUGUAGGCACAUUUUGAGGAGUGUACCUCAGUUAAUCCUACUAAAUAUGCAGCUCUACUACAAAAGAUAUUAGCCUAAUACAUAGAGAGACAGAGUAUGAAGGAUAGACACAGAAGAACACUGUCAAAGGAUUGGUAAAAGAUGAGUAUGCUGAAAAGGAGGGGAUAGUGAAGGGAAGGAGAACGCGGUCAGAGACAGUGAUGGAGAAGAUAAGUAGACUUAGACCAUGGGAGACCUUGCACCAUGUAAAACAGUUUGCAUGCUUUGUGGAUACAAUAGACGGACACAUAGACUGAGAAACAAAUUGCUUUUCUUUCAGGUCAGUCACUCUGUCUCUUGAAGAGCAAGGUGCUCUGAACAUUUCUUAUGCGCUAGGUCAAUGGAAACAACCCAAAACUCUAAUAAAAAUAUACUCAAAUAUUUGUCCUCCCUGAAAAUGACUAUAAUUAUGACAAUAUAAGGUGAUAUACAACUAAUCAUAACUUUGUUAUUUCUUUUUUAGUUCAAAAUGCUUUUACAGUCACUUAUACAUUAUCAUUUAUAAUAUUUUAAUGAAAAACCAUGACAUUAUAUUUUAUUAACUUGAAAAUGUUAGCUUCACUUUUGGGGAAAUAGUGAGUUGAAGUCUGGUUUAAACUUUACUUCAUUUAGAUGGUUUAAAUAGCUGUCAUUUCUAAAAUAUGUAUCUGCCCAAGGCACAUUAAGCUGAGAUAGAAGACAUAGUUGGCUGUAUUUAAUGAAUGCCAACAUUCAUUAUUUUGAUCUCAACUAAUUUAUGUUUGUAAACUUUAAGCUCAACUUCAAUAUGAACUCAGUUUUACACUUGUUAUGUAACGGUUUACACUGGUUACUCUGUUCUUCUGUGCUGAGGAUUGAACCAAAGGCCGUGCGUGUGCAGGGCAAGCUCCUCCCACUGAGCUACAGCCUUACCUACCCCACCUUGUAAAGUUUUCUCUGCUCUGAUAUACAUCCAUCAUACUGGAAAGCUAAUUAGAAAAGAUAGCAUUUGCCUAUUUUUUUGUGCUUUCCAUUAAGAUAAUUAUAGAUUUAUAUGCAAUUUUAAAAAAUCAUACAAAGAAAUCUGUUAUAAUAUGUUCCCAGUCUCCUCUAAUGGUAACAAUUUGCAAAACUAGUAAUAUCAGGGAAAGAAGCCUCUAUAUGCCUUGCCUUUAAGUCACUGUGAUUCAAACCACAGUCUUAAUGUUUGUUAUUCUGUUAGCGAUGGCACACCCAACUAUAUUUAUUCACCUGAAGCUUCAGACUCAAAAUUAAAAAUUUCUAGAAGACCUUCAGAAGCAGUUAACUCGGAGGACAAGAAGCAAUAGCUCAGGCUACAGGGGUGGGGGGAUCUGACUCCUGAGGCAUCGAAGGACAUAUGAGCAUGUAUGCACUUACUCUCUCCCAUACACACACAAGCAAAAAUAAAAUCUAAAAAAAAAAGAUAUAGAGUUGUUAUUUGGGGGUCAUUUGUACAACUAGAGCUUUUAAGCCUGAAUAUUUUUAAAGUUCUGUAGGUCAAACCAACCCAUGGAAAGAAAAUAGUUUAUUCUCCUGCCCAUCGAAGUCAGGAGAGCCAUGGGAAAGUUGAAGAGGGGAAAAUAGUUUAUACUUAAUUGUUUAUAAUAUUGUAUAAGUCUAGAUUGGAUAUAUUAUUACUUAAUAUUACCCAUAGAAAUGUAGAAACCUUUCUCUCUCUUGUAAGACUUACUCUUGUAGCAAAGAGAAACAGCAACAUGUUAGAGUUAUAUCUUGCUAAAAAAUAUCCUUCUACCUCAACGUGUGGAGGAAUGUCAAUCAAGGGCAUGGGCAGCCACAUUUUAUGGGUGAUAAAGUUUGUAUUUCUUGAAAUUAAAGCAGUUCUAGACACAUAGUGGAUAUUCAGUAAAUACUUAUUGAUUGUCAAUUGUAAAACUUUUAAUGAGAUUUCUGUAUUCAUUUACUGUGUUGCUAGCAGAAUCUAGACCUCCAACUUUUAUUGAAUACACUGUAUCACAUAGCUUCUGCCUUUAUGGCUUAUUUUCCAUUGGAGAAAAACUUGUUUUCUCAGCACAGAGGAAAUAAUGAGGACCAUAAAGCCUGCUCUUUUUAAAGCAUUUAUAGUAAAAUAAUUUAGUUCUCUGAGUUUUUACAUUUCCCACAACAGAACCAAGUUUUCUUUGGUAUGUUGUUCAACUAAAUAAUGUUGUAAUGAAUAAUGAAUAACAGCAAUCUACUGCAUACAAGUAGAUUUUCUCAGACAGUUGCAUAUGGUAGAAAAGUGUUUUCAGAGUGAGUAGGCCUGGGGAAUAUUCAGAGUGUUCAAUAAUGCAAGAGCAUAGAGAUUGAAACUUUCUUGUGACUGAAUACUGUUUACAGGCUAGCAUGACUGGACAGAGAAUGGAUAUGAACUUUUAAAGAACUGGAAAUUGUAUGUGGAUAGAAUAACAUACAAGUGCAAAUCAUAACUUAAUUUCUUGAAUAAAUAAAAUAAAGGAAUUCUCAUUCAAUUCCUAGCUUGGUAACUAUUGGGCUUCAGCCAUUGUCCUCUUAGAAGCCCCCUCUGGCAUUCCCAUGCCCUGCUAAGAGAGCAAUGACCUUCCACACUGGCAACAGCACUAGACAGUGCUUUGCAGCACAUUGCAAGGACAUACACAUUAGUUUUAUCUCAAGUUGCUGGUUCCUGUUCACUCCCAAAGAGUAGUGUUUCCCUGGCUGUCCUAGAAUUCAAUCUGUAGAUGAGGUUGACAUUGAACUCACAGAAAUCUGCCUGCCUGUGUCUCCCACGUGCUGGAAAUAAAGGUAUGCACCGCCACCACCCAAAAACAGGUGAGCAAUUAAAUUUGUCUAGAGCUUAUCUGUACUAUUGGCAAAUAUCAUUUUGCAGUUUACAUUUCUAUAGGAACCUAAGUCAAAGAUAAAAACAAUCUUGCCAUCAUUGAAUCAAUAGUUUUCAAAGAUUUAAAAUGAUGAUACUGUUAUCAUUAUUUUGACCAAAAUUCAUUUCUUCUGCAUCUGUGAUUGAUAGAAGAGCUGUAUAGUUCCCUAAGCAACCUGCAAUAAAAAAGAAAUAUGUAGAAAUUCCUUUCCCCAGGGACCAGGAAACCCCAUGGAAGAGGAUAAAAGUCAGAAAGAAUGGGGGCUAUCCAGAAAACGAGACCUCUAAAUCGCCAUGAUUAAAAUUCUUAUGAAGUCACGGAGACUGAGGCAGCAUGAGAGCCUUCAUGAGAUUCUCUGCUAUUCUCCAAGUCAUGUGUGUCAUUGUUGUGGACGAAUUACUAGAGAUGAGACCAACAAAGAAUACCAGACCAGAGGGAAACUAAUAUUCCUUGACCUCAUCCAGUGGAAACAUACUGUCUUUUGAAAUAAUUACUGUGGAAGCAGAAAAUCCUUACUGGUUGAAAGCCUGAGUAUGUGUGUUAGAAUAAAGGUUAUAGACAUUUGGAAGUCAUAAAUAUAUUUGUAUAAUGGAUCUUCCAUAAGUGGCUGCCUCCCUAUCAUUUGUAUAUGUAACAUUUUGAAAGAUGAAGAAGCCUUUUAGAAAUUGGUUUCUAAAUAACUCUACUUAAAUCACGGUCUUAGUACUAUUCCACUGAGAAUUAUUUUUUGCCCUUAGAAAAUAUAUUUUAUAUUGUGAUUUUCUAAGUAAUUUUAACUUUGUCUCAAAACAAUGGCUUUGUGGUAGUCAAGGCUAUGGAUGAAAUCUGUCAUUGAAAACCAGUACUGUAGAUGGGACCUGUAUUUAUCCAGGGGUCUGUUCAGCAUCAAAGAACACAACUAAGGACAGUGGGUGAAGGAGUCCAGACUCGAUUGCUCUGGAAAUGCACAUAUAUAAUCCUCAGUGGGUCUUCAGAUGUCCCACAAAAGACUUAGAUAACACAAUCUACUCUAUAUAUGUAUUGUCAGGCUCAGAAUAGUAAAUGUAGGAAGCACAUGAGAAAGACAUCUACUAGUUAGUGCUGUUACUAAAGCUGAGGAUCUGCAAACCUCAUAGCUUGAUUAUACACCAAGUGAUGUCCCAACUCCUGCUUAACCCAAGCACAGCCUUCUUUGAACUUGUACAAUACUCUUGCCCUCCUGUCCACUUGUCUAAUUUGAGUGCACAUUAAGGGUCAUCCAAUGAGUUUUUCAUGCAGUGUUUAAUUUUCUUCCACAACAAAAUAGCACUACAAAUGAAUAAUGAACUCCUUAUUCAUGGCAGGGCUCUAAGUUCAAUCUAUUUCAAUAUUUAUUGGUGAUAAAACUUUGGGAGACAUCCAUGAAUUUUUCUGUAUCCAAUAAAAUUAUUUAAAUUGUUGAAAUCCUGGCAGCCUCUGGGAGACUACUAGUUAGUUAUAAAAUGUGUUUGUCAAUGCAGUCCCUGCCUAGCACAUGCAAACAAACAAAAUUAUACAUGAGAAGAGUACUGGAGAGAUGGCUCAGAAGUUAAGAACAUUGUAAAACUCAAGUUUAAUUUUGAGCUUCCGUGUCAGGUAGCUUACAAGCAUCUCUAUCUUCUGCUCCAGAAAAUUGGACAUUUUCGCCUGGCACCUUCUAUCACCUGCUCUUGUGUUGCUUGCCACAUAUGCACACAUAUCUUUUAGAAAAUUUCUAGACAGAGAAAAGUAAAAAGUGAAAAUUGAAAGAAAAUUCUCUGAUAUCCAGUCAAUUCCCAUAUUGCUAAUAUCCUGCUGCUGUUCCCUUCUCAGAGCUAAAUAAACUAAGGAGAUAAAAUAUUUAGGGCACACUUCAUAUCAUAAACUCAUUCUUUAGGAUUUGUGAGACUUUGAAGCCAUAGGCAGAAGCUGUCUGGCAACAAGGAAUACAUGGAGUCCAGGAACCUGGGCUUUCCAGGCCCUCAGCACCCUGCUCACUUGAACAAGCCAGAAAUGCAGAAGUUUCUUAACAAAGCCACCCAUUACUUUUAGUUGUCUUGAAUGCUAUGAAGAAUUCAGAGAAGCUGAAACUCUGAACAGAUCUUUAAAGAAAGUAGGAACUGUCCUUUUGUUCCUGGUUUGGGGACUAGUAGAAGACUGUCUUAGAGUUUUCAGAGAAACAAGGAUAAAGGAGCAAACCAUGAACACUCAUUAAAGCUGUGUCUCAGAUAACUCACAGACUACACACUGAGCUUUAGCAUGGCUCAGGCUCGACUCGACCAUGGCUCAGGCUUGACUUGAGCAGCAAAUCUUUUCUGGAACUCUUCAAUGUGCUCAGCAGAAGAACUUGGAGCUGAAAACAAAUUUAGCAUUAGCAGUUCAGAAAUUGCAGCUUCUGAAAUGAGACAUUCCCUGAGAAUGGGCUGAGAGGAACAGAAAUGAAGCUACACAGACGUGGUUGGUGAAGGAAACAGGAAGCCUUUAUAGAGGAUCAGAGGUGCUUUGGAGGCAAGUCUUAGAAAGCUGUGAUAGUGCCUUCUGAAAGUCUCUACUUCUGCCUCCUCUGGUUGGCAGGGGCUUCGCUCAGUGACCUUAUGAAAACAGCGCUCUUGUUUUUAUGUCUGGCUAAGGCUGAAUAGUUAAAAACCACCAGAUCCAUUUACUCAUAAUUACAGGGACAUUGUAAAAAAAAAUCUGGUCCUACUAUGUGCCCAGCACUGUUCUUAGCACUUUUGUUUAUUAGCUCUGUAUUUCAACAAGCCCUCAUCUCACACCAUUUUCCUGACAUACAUGCCUGUGAGCAUCAGCUACAGGAUGUGCCAAUUAGAUCAGUCUGGCUCUGAUGUCUCCCUGAAACUCUAACUCAAGAUCUAAAAGGAUGUCCAGCCACAUUCACAGGGAAAGCAUACAAAUUUGAGCUAUCCUGAGAUAUGUUUUUGCUUAUUGGCUUUACAAAAUCAGUGUUUCAACACGAUAAAUCAUCUCCAUGUAAUACAAAGGGGGCAUUUUCAUGGAUUUUCAGUGGGAAUAUCUAGACAGGACAAUUUUUGGCCUAUUUCAGAAAAUAGCAAGUGCAUUUAUAUUUUGACCCACUGGGGCAAUUUUGGUGUAUUUAAUAAUGUGACAUAUUUUACAUUUGGUGCAACAAUCCCACUUAUCAAAAUGUAUUUUGCCAAUAGAAAGCAAAUGUUAUAUAUACAAACUACUAAUUGCAAUAUAGGUUGAAUUGUGAAGCUUUAGAAUUGCUCAACCUAAAUUGACAUAGGAGGUAUUGAUUCUUUCUAGAGCCUGUGAGGAUGGGAAAGGAGACAGAGGGGACAGGAGUGAGUGCAAUGCUUCUCAGUAUAACUUGGACAAAAUUGUUUCAAUAGUUAUUUUUCUUAUUGUGUACUUAUGUAUUCUUUUUGUGUGAAAAUUUGGUGACUGUUGUGACCUGACUGAUAUUUUGAACAGAUAUUUUAAUACUAUGAAAGUGUAUUACCUUUUCAAAACCACAGUAAAAUAGAAAUAUGAAGUUUGUAACAUAAUAUAGUAAAAGACCAAUUCAAAAACAAAACACAUGUUAAUUUAAUGGUGUUUAAUACUAUGUUUAAAAGUUAGAAAACUCAAAACUACUCUACUAUUAUGGGAAGAAGUAGAGGGGCUUGCAUAAUUUUUGUUUAUCUUUAAACCACUUGUUGAAAUUUGAUAAGGUUUUAAUUAAUGAGCACAAUACAGGCUGGCAGCUACUCAGAUUUAUUAGUAGAGACAGAGCUGUGCACCACAGUGGACACUGCUUCUGUUCUGGGCUCUCUACGGUCUUCAUAGGCUGGCCUCUAUAACAUAGCCUACAACAGUGCUACCUACAAUGAGCUCAGGUCCUGCUACCUACUCAAUUCUCAAAGCUCCCCUGUACAUUUGAACACCACAGAGAGCCUUUGCAGUCAGAGUUCACAAAUGAAACCUUUUCCUUAUUAUUCAAAGAACACUUGGACAGCUCUAGGCAGGACCUUAACAGCCCUUCCCCUCCAGACUGAAGAUGUUAGCUUUCUCUGUGGGCAUUCUCCAAAGGAAGUAUGGAAAACCCAGGUAUUGUGAAAAUCUGUGCUGUAUCACUAAGAAUGAGAUAGUUUUCAAAUAUGACACUGAUUAUAUUCUCGUUAUUUGCAGAUGACGUGAUUUGAAUUACUAUGUAGUUUGGAUUUUCCCCACGGAAUUUCUGGUUUUGUUGUUGUUGUUAUCAUUAUUGUUGUUUGUUUGUUUUUAAUAUUCUUCAUGCAAUCAUUUGCCAUUUUUAGGUGGCCAAUGUAGAAGAAGCACUUAAUUGACAUGAGAUAGUAAGAUAUAUACCUCACCUAAGUAAAAAGAUUUGGUUUCAUAAAGAUCUCAUCAAGUUAUCUAGGAGGAGUCCUUCAAAUGUGAAAGUCGGUUUGGUUAAUACUGCCAAGGCUUUCAGAAAAUAAAAUGGAUAUGUAAGAUAGAAUCAUUCUUUUAUAGUUCCCAUUAGUAGUCAAUGUGGGAACAAAAUAUAACGCUGUAAAUCCUUCUGAGGUAACUAAAUAAAAAGGCUCUCACAAAGGUCAGUUUUACAGCCAUCAAUUUGCUGUGAUGGGACAUUUGGUUGCCAAAGGAAGCAACAAAUACAGCCCCCAAUUAUGGUAACACUAAAGAAACAACAUGCUGCUAUGGCAAGGGGUGCUUUGUGGAGACUUAAACUGACACCGCGUACACAAGACAGCCUGUAAGUAGCAGUGUGGAUGUUCUGCUAACAGCAAUUCCUGUGCAAGGGCUUUGCAAGAGAUGAAUGGCUAUGACUGUUGCACUGCAGUGAAAUAGAUCUGCCACAGUCACCACAGUAAGUUACAAUGGGCAUUUGAAAUAUAUGCAAAAAUAAAAAGGAAAGAUGGUAGUUUCAUGAGCAAUUAAUGUGAUCCAUAAUUACCAUGUACAAACAAAGAAACCACUGGAGAACAGCAGCACAAUAAUUAGAUCUGAGGGCAUUAAUCUCCUGAAUGGCAAGGAUACAAUUUUUAUAAAAACAACAGUUCAAACAGUGGCACAAUGUAAAAGUAUAGAGGCUGCUAAUAUGUACAGUGGCAUCUUUUAUUAGGGACAUGUGCAACUUUAAACAUCACAAAAGCAUUAAACAUCUGAGCAAUAGCAUGGCCCUUCCCACCUCCUUCUCUAUCUGGUCCUCUUGUAUUUUAUCUACAGAUAGGAAUAGGCUCUUAUGUAGAUAUGCUUAGGGCCUCUUGGAAUUUGUGCUUCUAUUCAAAUUCACUUGUUAAACCGAAUGCAAAGUGAUAUUCAUGUGUACAAAUGGCUUCGGGGCCUAAGUGACAAUUGUCCUACUUAAAUACAUCAACAGUGGCACUGAUAUUGAAAAAAUAUGACCACCAAGUAAGACUUCUGAAACCACUCUUCUCAAGAAUCAGUGAAACACUAAAAUGGCUACUUUUAACAGCAUAAAAGAACAAUUAAAAAUAAAAUAAUUUAUACUACCAGUACCAAGAAAAACCCGCUAUAACAUUUUAGUAUAUCUUUUCACACUUUCUAUUAUUUUCUAUACUCCAUCUGUGUACAUGUACAUAAAUAUAUUAAUAUAUUGCAUAUAUCAUGUUUUAUUAUUUAUAGUCAUCAUGUAAUAAAUUAGAAGUAUUUUCCAC